CCUCUAUAAAUAACUCUCCUUUGGCCAUUCUGCAAACUCCCAGCCUCGAUUUCCGAUAUUACAUAAACAAACCACUUUCCUAACUCUCUUUACAAAACUCAGUCGUUUCAGCUCCUCUAUUCAUCUUCAUCUUUGCCAAUGGAUUCUAGCACCAAUUUCAGCUCUCCUUUUGACUGCCUCAUCUUCGAUUUAGAUGACACUCUGUAUUCUUCCAAGUUGGGAAUAGCUGAAGCUUUAAGGAAGAACAUUGACGACUUUCUUGUUGAGAAAUGUGGAUUUCCAGAGAACAAAGCUUCCAGACUCCGAGUUGAGCUCUUUAAAACUUAUGGCAGCUCUCUCGCUGGUUUGCGGGUAAUUGCUCUUUAAAACGAGAAAAAGUAACCAAUACGAACUCUUUUCUUUGUCGCCUUGAUUCGAUUUUUCUUUUCUUUGUAAAUUUAUAUUGCAGGCGUUAGGCUAUGACAUCGAUGCUGAUGAUUACCACAGGUGAUUAGGAAUAUUCCUCAAUCUCUCCGUAUUUUUAAUUAUGUUUCAUUUUUUUUAUUUAAAAUUCGAUUUUUUAAGAUUCACGUAAUUGAUUUUUCUAUUUUUAUGUUCAGUUUCGUGCACGGAAGAUUGCCUUACGAUUUGAUCAAGCCAGACAGUCAAUUACGCAACCUUUUGCGAAGCAUCACGCAAAGAAAAAUUGUGAGUUUCAGAAAAGAAAAAUUAAACCGACUGAAUUUGAGUUUUCUUAUUCUGUUUCCUUGAUUCACCUUUUUUCUCAUCAUUUUUCUCCUCCAGAUUUUCACCAAUUCCGAUAGAAUUCACGCAAUUAAGGUCCUAAAAAGGUUAGGAUUAGAAGACUGCUUCGAUCAAAUCAUAUGCUUUGAGACAAUGAAUCCAAAUCUUUCAAAAUCGACGAGCCCUGAUGAGUGCCCUGUUCUUCUUAAACCUUCAAUGGAUGCCAUAAAGAUUGCUGUCCACGCUGCCGAUGUCGACCCUCGCCGCACGGUAUGCUGCCAAAAGCACAAUUGUUUGUUAUUUCCCAUAGUUUGGAUUGCUGGUUUUGUUUGAUCAGUUUAAUAAUUUCCCUCUGUCAAUGGGUCCUAAAACGCGCUCUGGUGUGUCGUUUAUUGUGUUGUGAGAACAGCUGUUCCUGGACGAUAACGCGCGCAAUGUGGCAGCAGGGAAAGCUGUGGGGCUUCGUACUGUUCUGGUUGGGAAAACGGUGAAGAGCAAAGAAGCAGAUUACGUGAUGGAGAAUGUAAACAAGCUGGCACAAGUAAUUCCAGAAAUUUGGGUGAUUGGAAAGAACAAUGGUGAUCAAAGCAUCAACCGCACCAGGAGUGAAUUAGAUUCCAUCCUGGAAACCACGCCCGUUGGAGCCUAAACCACGUCCCAAUCAAGACUUCUUCCUUCCAUCGCGUACAAUUGUAAAUGAACCAAGUUCCAAACUCCAUGUGGGUUCCAUCCAAUGUGCAGAUGUGUUUAUGUAAAUGGUAUGUUCAUAAAAUAAAAUUAGCAAUUUUCCAUCCGAAAAUUGUUCCUGUGAUCCUCAAGUAGUAAUUUUCACAUCAAUAAUGUUCAUCGUCUC
rnacentral:misc_RNA from 1 species